rnacentral:rRNA from 1 species
UACGUAGGCAGCGAGCGUUGUUCGGAGUUACUGGGCGUAAAGGGUGUGUAGGCGGUCCUGUAAGUCUGGUGUGAAAUCUCCCGGCUUAACUGGGAGGGUGCGGCGAAAACUGGAGUGCUAGAGGGUGGGAGAGGAAAGCGGAAUUCCUGGUGUAGCGGUGAAAUGCGUAGAUAUCAGGAGGAACACCUGCGGUGUAGACAGCUUUCUGGACCACUUCUGACGCUGAGACACGAAAGCGUGGGGAGCAAACAGG